GAUCAUGGCUCAGGAUGAACGCUAGCUACAGGCUUAACACAUGCAAGUCGAGGGGUAGCAGGGUAGACAAUACCGCUGACGACCGGCGCACGGGUGAGUAACACGUAUCCAACCUUCCCAUAACUCAGGGAUAGCCUUUCGAAAGAAAGAUUAAUACCUGAUAGUACUUUUUCAAGGCAUCUUAGAAAAAGUUAAAGAUUUAUUGGUUAUGGAUGGGGAUGCGUUCCAUUAGAUAGUUGGUGAGGUAACGGCUCACCAAGUCUUCGAUGGAUAGGGGUUCUGAGAGGAAGGUCCCCCACAUUGGUACUGAGACACGGACCAAACUCCUACGGGAGGCAGCAGUGAGGAAUAUUGGUCAAUGGGCGAGAGCCUGAACCAGCCAAGUAGCGUGAAGGAAUGAAGGUCCUAUGGAUUGUAAACUUCUUUUAUAGUAGAAUAAAGUGAGCCACGUGUGGUUUUUUGUAUGUAUACUGUGAAUAAGGAUCGGCUAACUCCGUGCCAGCCGCUGC
rnacentral:rRNA from 1 species